GCCCGACUAGCUCACCGGUAGAGCGCCUCACUAGUAUCCCUAUAAUGCGAUGAGGAGGCAACAGGUUCGACUCCUGUGUUGGGCA